CGAGGAAAAAACCUUUUUACAGUUAUACAGUGUGUGAACAGUGAAACCUUCAAAAGUAAAACCCAAAUCUUGUGCAGUGGGACGGAUACGUUUUUUUUCGGCUACAACGGCAACAGAUAAACGGUUUUGCAGUGCAAAAGUUUUGGUUACGACGACAAGUGCCUAGUGAAGCAAGUACGGUUGCUAUCGAUAAAAAAAAACGGACUGCAUUUUGGCGCGUAUGGUGUGUGCGGAAUUUUCUCCCACAACGAAGGCCACGAAACAGCACGCCGGGAGCAGCCUACAACCACGGGAAAAGGCAUACGGCGAAGCUUUGCAGAUAGCGUUCGAGCAUUUUUUUUCUUGCUACGAGUCGCAGCCAGCGGCGGCAUUUAAAACGUCGGACAACGAGGACGGUGGUAAUAAACUAUCCGCCUAAUUGGCCGCUACAAACGCCGGAAAAUCCAGACGAAGGUGGCGAAUUUCGUUAUCACCAUUAAUUUGCGGAGGAAAACAGCAAUUUCGUCGAAAGAUCUCAGGAAGUGUUUGUGCCACCUAGGAAGGUUUUAAAGUAGUUCGAAUAGUACGGCUUCGGGUCGUUUUCCGGAAGACCACAUAGGGUAACUGCGACAAUUGUCGACACGGGCAAAGGCCUUAGGCGAGAGCCAAUCGUUUCUGUACGGAUAGCAAUUGGAAGCGCUCUCACCAUGGCCCACCGAAGUCAGCUUAGGUGCUA